GACGAACGCUGGCGGCGUGCCUAAUACAUGCAAGUCGAACGCAGUGGGGACGGGUGAGUAACACGUGGGUAACCUCCCAUCAGAGGGGAUAACACUUGGAAACAGGUGCUAAACCGAUACUGAUGGAUGGACCCGCGGGGCAUUAGCUAGUUGGUGAGGUAACGGCUCACCAAGGCCACGUUGCAUAGACGAGCUGGUAGGGUGAUCGGCCGCACUGGGACAGUGACACGGCCAAGACUCCUACGGGAGGCAGCGGUAGGGAAUCUUCGGCAAUGGAAGAAAGUCUGACCGAGCGACGCCGCGUGAGUGAAGAAGGUUUUCGGAUCGUAACACUCUGUUGUUAGGGAAGCGGUAUCUACCCAGGAAGCCACGGCUAACUACGUGCCAGCAGCCGCGGUAAUAC
rnacentral:rRNA from 1 species